rnacentral:rRNA from 1 species
ACCCCCGGGGUAUGCUCAGUACGGCGAGUGAGCGGCAAGAGCUCAAAUUUGAAAGCUGGCUCCUUCGGAGUCCGCAUUGUAAUUUGCAGAGGAUGCUUUGGGUGCGGCCCCCGUCUAAGUGCCCUGGAACGGGCCGUCAGAGAGGGUGAGAAUCCCGUCUUGGGCGGGGUGUCCGUGCCCGUGUAAAGCUCCUUCGACGAGUCGAGUUGUUUGGGAAUGCAGCUCUAAAUGGGUGGUAAAUUUCAUCUAAAGCUAAAUACUGGCCGGAGACCGAUAGCGCACAAGUAGAGUGAUCGAAAGAUGAAAAGCACUUUGAAAAGAGAGUUAAACAGCACGUGAAAUUGUUGAAAGGGAAGCGCUUGCGACCAGACUCGCCCGCGGGGUUCAGCCGGCAUUCGUGCCGGUGUACUUCCCCGUGGGCGGGCCAGCGUCGGUUUGGGCGGCCGGUCAAAGGCCCCUGGAAUGUAGUACCCUCCGGGGUACCUUAUAGCCAGGGGUGCAAUGCGGCCAGCCUGGACCGAGGAACGCGCUUCGGCACGGACGCUGGCAUAAUGGUCGUAAACGACCCGUCUUGAAACACGGACCAA